rnacentral:rRNA from 1 species
GAUGAACGCUGGCGGCGUGCUUAACACAUGCAAGUCGAACGGAAAGGCUCCUGCUUGCAGGGGUACUCGAGUGGCGAACGGGUGAGUAACGCGUGGGUGAUCUGCCCUGCACUUCGGGAUAAGCCUGGGAAACUGGGUCUAAUACCGGAUAGGACGAUGGUUUGGAUGCCAUUGUGGAAAGUUUUUUCGGUGUGGGAUGAGCUCGCGGCCUAUCAGCUUGUUGGUGGGGUAAUGGCCUACCAAGGCGUCGACGGGUAGCCGGCCUGAGAGGGUGUACGGCCACAUUGGGACUGAGAUACAGCCCAGACUCCUACGGGAGGCAGCAGUGGGGAAUAUUGCACAAUGGGCGCAAGCCUGAUGCAGCGACGCCGCGUGGGGGAUGACGGCCUUCGGGUUGUAAACUCCUUUCGCUAGGGACGAAGCGCAAGUGACGGUACCUGGAGAAGAAGCACCGGCUAACUACGUG